rnacentral:sRNA from 1 species
UUAUUGUUCCAAGAUUCUAAGACAAGACUUCUAAUAUGGCAUCUCAGUUUAUUGUUCUUUGGGGUUUGUUUUCAGAUCCUCAUGUCAGAACCAGGCAAACUCAGCCAGAAAAUCAAAGUUUGGCUUCAGGAGUACUGGAAUAUCACAGAUCUCGUGGCCAUUUCCACAUUCAUGAUUGGAGCAAUUCUUCGCCUACAGAACCAGCCCUACAUGGGCUAUGGCCGGGUGAUCUACUGUGUGGAUAUCAUCUUCUGGUACAUCCGUGUCCUGGACAUCUUUGGUGUCAACAAGUAUCUGGGGCCGUACGUGAUGAUGAUUGGAAAGAUGAUGAUCGACAUGCUGUACUUUGUGGUCAUCAUGCUGGUCGUGCUCAUGAGUUUCGGAGUAGCCCGUCAAGCCAUUCUGCAUCCAGAGGAGAAGCCUUCUUGGAAACUGGCCCGAAACAUCUUCUACAUGCCCUACUGGAUGAUCUAUGGAGAGGUGUUUGCAGACCAGAUAGACCUCUACGCCAUGGAAAUUAAUCCUCCUUGUGGUGAGAACCUAUAUGAUGAGGAGGGCAAGCGG